UAUAGCGAAUUUAUGCAAAGACAGAGAUAAAUACUGACUUUCAUUCGAAGGCAGUAUUACCACUAAUAGAGUAAGGGUUAUUGUCCGGCAUCAAACGGGCGUAAAAAAAGCGCCCUGAGGCGCUUUUUUAG
rnacentral:sRNA from 1 species